rnacentral:tRNA from 1 species
GCCCGCCUAGCUCAAUCGGAUAGAGCGUCAGACUUUUACGGCGGGUUGACCACUGUUAUCUGAAAUCUGAAGGCUGCGAGUUCGACCCUCGCGGUGGGCU